rnacentral:rRNA from 1 species
GACGAACGCUGGCGGCGUGCCUAACACAUGCAAGUCGAGCGAAUGAAGUUCCUUUGGGAACGGAUUUAGCGGCGGACGGGUGAGUAACACGUGGGCAACCUGCCUCAUAGAGGGGAAUAGCCUUCCGAAAGGGAGAUUAAUACCGCAUAAGAUUGUAGUACCGCAUGGUACAGCAAUUAAAGGAGCAAUCCGCUAUGAGAUGGGCCCGCGGCGCAUUAGCUAGUUGGUGAGGUAACGGCUCACCAAGGCGACGAUGCGUAGCCGACCUGAGAGGGUGAUCGGCCACAUUGGGACUGAGACACGGCCCAGACUCCUACGGGAGGCAGCAGUGGGGAAUAUUGCACAAUGGGGGAAACCCUGAUGCAGCAACGCCGCGUGAGUGAUGACGGCCUUCGGGUUGUAAAGCUCUGUCUUCAGGGACGAUAAUGACGGUACCUGAGGAGGAAGCCACGGCUAACUACGUGCCAGCCGCCGCUGUAA